CCGUAACUUCGGGAGAAGGUGCGCCGGCUAGGGUGAAGGAUUUACUCCGUAAGCUCUGGCUGGUCGAAGAUACCAGGCCGCUGCGACUGUUUAUUAAAAACACAGCACUCUGCAAACACGAAAGUGGACGUAUAGGGUGUGACGCCUGCCCGGUGCCGGAAGGUUAAUUGAUGGGGUUAGCGCAAGCGAAGCUCUUGAUCGAAGCCCCGGUAAACGGCGGCCGUAACUAUAACGGUCCUAAGGUAGCGAAAUUCCUUGUCGGGUAAGUUCCGACCUGCACGAAUGGCGUAACGAUGGCGGCGCUGUCUCCACCCGAGACUCAGUGAAAUUGAAAUCGCUGUGAAGAUGCAGUGUAUCCGCGGCUAGACGGAAAGACCCCGUGAACCUUUACUGUAGCUUUGCACUGGACUUUGAGCCUGCUUGUGUAGGAUAGGUGGGAGGCUUUGAAGCGUGGACGCCAGUUCGCGUGGAGCCAUCCUUGAAAUACCACCCUGGCAUGCUUGAGGUUCUAACUCUGGUCCGUGAUCCGGAUCGAGGACAGUGUAUGGUGGGCAGUUUGACUGGGGCGGUCUCCUCCUAAAGAGUAACGGAGGAGUACGAAGGUGCGCUCAGACCGGUCGGAAAUCGGUCGCAGAGUAUAAAGGCAAAAGCGCGCUUGACUGCGAGACAGACACGUCGAGCAGGUACGAAAGUAGGUCUUAGUGAUCCGGUGGUUCUGUAUGGAAGGGCCAUCGCUCAACGGAUAAAAGGUACUCCGGGGAUAACAGGCUGAUACCGCCCAAGAGUUCAUAUCGACGGCGGUGUUUGGCACCUCGAUGUCGGCUCAUCACAUCCUGGGGCUGAAGCCGGUCCCAAGGGUAUGGCUGUUCGCCAUUUAAAGUGGUACGCGAGCUGGGUUUAGAACGUCGUGAGACAGUUCGGUCCCUAUCUGCCGUGGACGUUUGAGAUUUGAGAGGGGCUGCUCCUAGUACGAGAGGACCGGAGUGGACGAACCUCUGGUGUUCCGGUUGUCACGCCAGUGGCAUUGCCGGGUAGCUAUGUUCGGAAAAGAUAACCGCUGAAAGCAUCUAAGCGGGAAACUUGCCUCAAGAUGAGAUCUCACUGGGAACUUGAUUCCCCUGAAGGGCCGUCGAAGACUACGACGUUGAUAGGCUGGGUGUGUAAGCGUUGUGAGGCGUUGAGCUAACCAGUACUAAUUGCCCGUGAGGCUUGACCAU
rnacentral:rRNA from 1 species